CGGAAACGUUUGCACAAUUUAGCACGUGCUGCUGGUGCAUUUUUUAAAUAUGAUGUACUUAAAAUGGUUCGAAUUUACAUUGAUUCAAAAAAUCCAGCUUAUCUAUUCAUCAAGAUACCUAAAAUCCUGCCCUGCCAAGAUUAAAAAUUUGUAAGACGAUAUUAUAUUUGAAAAUAUAAACUCCUAUGGCUUCACUAAAAGAUGAAACCCAACAUUCGACUUCAAAUUUAAAAACUAUUAUCCAAAAUUCUUAUAGAUUUUUACUUGGUAGUAUAGCUGGUGCUGUAGGAGCCACAGCUGUUUAUCCUUUUGAUAUGAUAAAAACUAGGUUACAAAAUCAAAAGCAAAUAAUAAAUUUUAAUGGCAAAGAUGAUAUAUUUAAAGAUUCAAAACUCCACAAAACACCUUAUACUGACCUUAUUAAUAAUAUUGGCAAAAAUCUUAACAAAGAUAUAAAAAUAACAAGGAAUAAUAUAUCUAUAGAAAAAAGUAAAACUUAUUACAAGAAUUCAUUUGAUUGCUUGGUGAAGAUAAUAAAAUAUGAAAAAGUUAGAGGACUUUACAGAGGCAUAGGCCCUGUACUGAUUGGAGUUGCUCCAGAAAAAGCUAUCAAAUUAACGGUGAACGAUUUUGUGAAGGACAAGUUUAUCUUGCAUUACCGAAAAAGGUUGCCCCUAUGGAGCGAAAUAGUAUCUGGCGGAUGCGCCGGAGCCUCUCAGGUAAUUUUUACAAACCCGAUGGAGAUAGUGAAAAUACGAUUACAAAUCUCUAAUUUAAAUGCCCUCGAAAGCGAACAUGCAACUACCUCAUCGACCUCUAAAUCCAAAGUUCCAAGCAAAACGGCCUUUGGUAUCGUGAAAGAGUUGGGCUUUCGUCGGUUAUACACGGGUGCCCACGCAUGUCUCAUGCGUGAUUUACCGUUUAGUGCCAUCUACUUCCCAACUUAUGCCCAUUUGAAAAUUUAUUUCUGUUCUAUUGGAGAGAUCUCAAACGUGCGCAAAGGCCAUGCUUCUAAAUCAACAAAACUUGCUAACGAAUCGAAGGAUCUAGAUAUUUUGAAUACCAAAAAUGGUCAACUUGAUAACGACAAAACUCUCGCAGACCAUAAAAACGAAACACCAUUAAACCUCCUAUACGAGGAUGAAGAACAAAUUUGCAGUGCGCCAAAGGCCCACAACCACGUAGGCAUGUUAUGGGCCGCAACUUUGGCCGGGAUACCUGCGGCUGCCUUGGUUACCCCCGCGGAUGUCGUCAAAACACGUUUGCAAGUCGAAAGGAAGGUUAAUUUAUUGCAAAAUUUAGAAGUAGGUUUCAAAGGAAUCUCAAACGGAAAUAAUAAUUUCGGAGUAAUAAACACUUUUGCCAGCAUCGUCAAGAACGAAGGCUUUGGAGCCCUCUGGAAAGGAACUUUUGCCAGAGUAUGUAGAUCUUCCCCUCAAUUCGGUGUUACUUUAUUCACCUACGAGUUCCUGCAAAAUACGUUCGACAUCAAAUAUUAGAGGAAGAAGAGAGAAGGAGCAAAUCCCAGGAGCAUAUUUCAUGCUUUAACUUUUAAAAUUCUUUCUCGCCAUUCUAUUCCUUUCCAAUAAUUUUAUUAUCAGCUUGAUAUUGAUGAUGUCGUUUCUAUCUGUUUUCAACUCCUAAUUACGAUUCAAAAAUUUCUUUAAGAUUUUCUUACCCCUAUCAAUACUUAUUAAUAUUCAUUAGAGAAUGAAUUCUUAAUUAACGAAUUUCGAUAAAUAAGUUGUUUGUAAUUUAUAACAUCCUCCCCAAUUCAAUUUUUUUAAAAUUGUAUAUUACAACAUACUAUAUAAUUUAUUUUAACUAUAUUAUAAAUUGAGAAUUUGGGGAAAAUUAUAAUAGUAAGCCAUGCUAAUUAUGUUUUUCAGGGUACACAAACCCAUUAUUUUAAGUACAUAUGCGUAUAUAUAUAUAUAUAUUGAUGCCCAAAUUAAUUGGAUUGUACAUAUAUAUUUUUAAAUGAACUUAAAAAAUUUAAAACACCAUUUCUUCCAU